AUUGAACGCUGGCGGCAUGCUUUACACAUGCAAGUCGAACGGUAACAGGCCUUCGGGCGCUGACGAGUGGCGAACGGGUGAGUAAUGCAUCGGAACGUGCCCAGUCGUGGGGGAUAACGCAGCGAAAGCUGUGCUAACACCGCAUACGAUCUAUGGAUGAAAGCGGGGGACCGUAAGGCCUCGCGCGAUUGGAGCGGCCGAUGUCAGAUUAGGUAGUUGGUGGGGUAAAGGCUCACCAAGCCAACGAUCUGUAGCUGGUCUGAGAGGACGACCAGCCACACUGGAACUGAGACACGGUUCAGACUACUACGGGAGGCAGCAGUGGGGAAUUUUGGACAAUGGGCGCAAGCCUGAUCCAGCAAUGCCGCGUGCAGGAAGAAGGCCUUCGGGUUGUAAACUGCUUUUGUACGGAACGAAACGGCGAGCUCUAAUACAGUUUGCUAAUGACGGUACCGUAAGAAUAAGCACCGGCUAACUACGUGCCAGCAGCCGCGGUAACAC
rnacentral:rRNA from 1 species